AGGCACAAGAUCAGGAACAAGAAUAUGACAGUAAAGGGAAAAGAGAGAGAUCUACAGACGUUAUGCAUAGAGAGAGAGAGAGAGAGAGAGAGAGAGGGAGAGAGAAGAGGAAAAAAAGAAGAAAGAAGAAGAAAAAGGCACAGUGACUUGGCAUGUGCGGUAGAAAAGGUGACUCCGCGCGCAGCGGGUAGCGGAUUUGUUCAAAUCUACGUUGAGUAUCAUGCCGUGAAUGCCAAAAAAAAAAGAAAAAGGGAACCCAAAUAAGAUGAGUCUGACACUGCAAAGAUUUUCCUGAUUUCAUUUCUGUUUGAAAUUCUGCAUGAUACGAGGAAGUGAUUUUGUGGAAUGCAUUGAGGGUACCCCUACUUGGGCAGAAAUCAUUUGGCUUCUUCAAGUCAUCCAAAAAUUUGUUUUCAUUAUUGGUCAUGAUGAAACGCAUAAUGAUGACCACCCUUGUUCAGUGGAGGACUAGCUUAAUCCUGUUUGUGCUUUAGCACUCAGGGUAGAGUUAGUUAUUGCCUAGCUCUGGUGAUGCAACAGUGUUAGGAUCUAAAAUCAGCUAAGAAGGGGGCAACUUGACUGAGGUCUUAUUGCUAGGAGGCCCAAAGUGACACCCAUUAUGGUUUUCACUCCUCUUUAAGUAGGCACUCAUACUUCAGAGACACGAAUACGUGUUUUAAUUGCGGGGAUCUAAGGCAUUAUACUAGAGAUUAUCCUAAUCCCCACCGUCGUUAGGCUACAUGGAGAUGUGGGAACCAGUUGGUUGAGCUAGUUGCUGGGGUUACACCUGUAGUCAUGGAAGGUACACUUUUUAUUUCUAACUAUUUUGCAUGUGUCAUCACUAAUUUGGGUGUUAUGUACUCUUUCGUUUUAAUUAAUUUUGUUGAAAAGAUAAGUAUUAAUCUUGUACCCUAGGAAAGAUAGUAGUGCCAAGAACACCAGCUAAGAAUUUAGUUGCGUCUAGGUGAUGUUUAAAUCUUGUAAGAAUAAGAUAAUAGGUAAAAACUUACUAGUUGAUCUUCUACUCUUUGGUUUUCAAGGGUUUCAGGUAAUCAUGAGUAUGGAUUGGCUGGCUGUCUAUCUUGUUACCCUUGAUUAUUUCCAAAAAACAAUAAUGGUUCAUUCUUCGCAAUAGAACAUCUUAUUCACAGUAAAUGAAUCAAUAUAAACAAUAAAUAAUAAAGAUAUCCUAUUUUGUAUUUCUCUUAUGUUAUAAUGUAACUAAUUAAAAGUUUUCCUAAAUAUAGUUUAACCUACUAAAUAAAGUUUUCUUUAACAAGAAGAGAAAUGAAUUUUAGAAUGGGUAUCUAUACUAGUUUUAGAUAAGUAUGUUAGUUGCGUCUAGGUGAUGUUUAAAUCUUGUAAGAAUAAGAUAAUAGGUAAAAACUUUCUAGUUGAUCUUCUACUCUUUGGUUUUCAAGGGUUUCAGGUAAUCAUGAGUA